rnacentral:rRNA from 1 species
GAUGAACGCUAGCUACAGGCUUAACACAUGCAAGUCGAGGGACCGGCGCACGGGUGAGUAACACGUAUACCACCUGCCCUUUACUCGGGGAUAGCCUUUCGAAAGAAAGAUUAAUACCCGAUGUUAAGGAUGGGGAUGCGUUCCAUUAGGUUGUUGGUGAGGGAACGGCUCACCAAGCCUUCGAUGGAUAGGGGUUCGGAGAGGAAGGUCCCCCACAGUGGAACUGAGACCCGGGCCAAACUCCUACGGGAGGCAGAAGUGAGGAAUAGUGGGCAAUGGGCGUUAGCCUGAACCAGCCAAGUAGCGUGAAGGAUGAAGGCUUAUGGGUCGUAAACUUCUUUUAUAUAAGAAUAUGUAUUAUAUGAAUAAGGAUCGGCUAACUCCGUGCCAGCAGCCGCGGUAAUAC